UUUAAGUACAACCAUAAGUUUUCGUGUUCAAUUUUAAUCGUCCGUCUUAUUUGAAAUUUUUUUAUAAUUAAUAUUUUUGUUGUUAUGAGAUGAUAAAACAUGAAUAGUACUUUACCCGAGAUUUAUGUUUUUAAAUUUUUUUAAAUUUUUUUUUAAAAUAAGACGGACGGUCAAGGUUGGACACGGAUAACUAUAGCUACACUUAAA
rfam:Oryza sativa (indica cultivar-group) chromosome 1, whole genome shotgun sequence.